rnacentral:lncRNA from 1 species
AAAAUGUAUAUUCUAGUCAUGAAAAUGUAAAUACAAGUUGGUGUAAUAAAAUGUAUUUUUAAUUCAAAGGAUUGUUUUUUGUAUAAGUUGUAAAUGAAAUACAGAGGAUGGAACCUCUACAUAAAUGAGUAUAAUAUACAGAAAGUCUGUACAGUAUUUUAAUUUUGGUAUUUGUGAAUUAAAAUUAACAACACACAAAGAGAG